CCUCAGUCGUGAAAUUAUGUCAUCGUAACGCUAUGCAGUAAUUUCGAACUCAAACAAAUCCAACAAAAGUCAAUGUAAUCUUGGAGAACAGGAGAGAACGUCAUGUUGUCAUAGUCAGAUAAGUUGUCAGUUUAAAAAUAUUUUGUAUCUGUGAGUUUGGACUUUUGUUAUUAUCAUUCUUACGCAGUCUAACGCUUGUCUCGGGAAGACUGACCGGAAUAAUAAAUUUAAACCUACAUAAUCAAGUUUGUUGCUGAGCUCGUUCUUUUGGAUUCAAUCUGUGAAAAUCGCUGCAGGAGUUCCAGCAUUGCAGGAUGGCGUGGUCGGGAUAUCAGAAGUUCCUGGCGGUGAUGCUCGUUGUGACAGGUUCAAUUAACUCUUUGAGUACAAAAUGGGCGGACAAAUUGCAGUCAAAGGGGUCGGAUGGAUUAAUCACAGAUUUUGAACAUCCAUUCCUACAGGCCACAGCAAUGUUUCUCGGCGAAAUGAUGUGCCUUGUUAUAUUCAAGCUGAUUUACUU